rnacentral:rRNA from 1 species
UACGGAGGGUGCGAGCGUUGUUCGGAAUUACUGGGCGUAAAGAGUGCGUAGGCGGUUUGUCGCGUCUGCUGUGAAAACCCGAGGCUCAACCUCGGGCCUGCAGUGGGUACGGGCAGACUAGAGUGCGGUAGGGGAGAUUGGAAUUCCUGGUGUAGCGGUGGAAUGCGCAGAUAUCAGGAGGAACACCAAUGGCGAAGGCAGAUCUCUGGGCCGUAACUGACGCUGAGGAGCGAAAGCAUGGGGAGCGAACAGG